rnacentral:rRNA from 1 species
CCUACGGGGGGCAGCAGUGGGGAAUAUUGGACAUUGGGGGCAACCCUGAUCCAGCCAUGCCGCGUGUGUGAAGAAGGCCCUCGGGUUGUAAAGCACUUUCAGUGAGGAAGAACGCCUGGUGGUUAAUACCCAUCAGGAAAGACAUCACUCACAGAAGAAGCACCGGCUAACUCCGUGCCAGCAGCCGCGGUAAUACGGAGGGUGCGAGCGUUAAUCGGAAUUACUGGGCGUAAAGCGCGCGUAGGUGGCUUGAUAAGCCGGUUGUGAAAGCCCCGGGCUCAACCUGGGAACGGCAUCCGGAACUGUCAAGCUAGAGUGCAGGAGAGGAAGGUAGAAUUCCCGGUGUAGCGGUGAAAUGCGUAGAGAUCGGGAGGAAUACCAGUGGCGAAGGCGGCCUUCUGGACUGACACUGACACUGAGGUGCGAAAGCGUGGGUAGCAAACAGGAUUAGAUACCCUAGUAGUC